ensembl:lncRNA
CUCGGUCCUCCAGCCCCCCACCUCGGUCCUCCAGCCUCACUUCCAAGUCCUCCAGCCCCCCACCUCGGUCCUCCAGCCCCCCAACUCGGUCCUCCAGCCCCCCAGCUCACCUUGCUAUAGAGCUGCGCGGCCGCCAUGGCCGCCUCGUCGCUAUGGGGCGGAGUUGUGGGGCGGAGCUCCGCCCCAUAGCAACGCGGCCCCAUAGAGGGCAAUGGGGGGAUGGGAGUGGAGCCGCUCCCUAUGGGGAAAGGUCCCGGCACGGCCAUAAUGGGGUCCUAUGGGGUCCUUAUGGGGUUUUAUGGGGUCCAAUGGGGUCUUAUGGGGCUCUAUGAGGUCUUAUGGGGUUCUAGGGGGUCCUUAUGGGGUCCCUAUGGGGUCUUUAUGGGGUCCUAUGGGGUCUUAUGGGGUCCUAUGGGGUCUUUAUGGGGUCCUAUGGGGGCUUAAAGGGGUUCUAUGGGGUCCUAUGGGGCUCUAUGGGGGCUUAAAGUGGUCUUUAUGGGGUCUUUAUGGGGUCCUAUGGGGUCCUUAUGGGGUUUUAUGGGGUCCAAUGGGGUCCUAUGGGGCUCUAUGAGGUCUUAUGGGGUUCUAUGGGGUCCUUAUGGGGUCCUUACGGGAUCCAGAGAGUUUAUAGGGUCAUUAAUGAGUCCCUAUGCGUCCCUCUCAGACCCCAUAAGGACCCCAUAAAGACCCUAUAAGCCCUCUCAGACCCCAUAAGGACCCCAUAGAACCCCAUAGAGACCCUAUAGGACCCCAUAAAGACCCUAUAAACCCUCUCAGACCCCAUAAGAUCCCAUAGAAACCCUAUAGGACCCCAUAAAGACCCUAUAAACCCUCUCAGACCCCAUAAGGACCCCAUAAGACCCUAUAGGACCCCACAGAGAUCCUAUAAACCCUUUUAGACUCCUUAAGGACCCUAUAGGACCCCAUAGAGACCCCAUAGAGACCCUAUAAGCCCUCUUAGACCCCAUAGGACCCCAUAAGGACCCUAUAAGCCCUCUCAGACCCCAUAAGGACCCCAUAAGGACCCCAUAAACUCUCUCAGAUCCCAUAAAGACCCCAUAAGACCCCAUAGAGACUCCAUAAGGACCCCAUAAAACCCCAUAAAGACCCUAUAAGCCCUCUCAGACCCCAUAAGGAGCCCAAUAGCAACCCCAUAGGACCCCAUAACGACCCUAUAAGCCCUCUCAGACCCCAUAAGACCCCAUAGAAACCCUAUAGGACCCCAUAAAGACCCCACAAGCCCUCUCAGACCCCAUAAGACCCCAUAGAGACCCUAUAGGACCCCAUAAAGACCCUAUAAGCCCUCUCAGACCCCAUAGAGACCCCAGAAGACCCUAUAAACCCUCUCAGACCCCAUAAGGACCC